rnacentral:lncRNA from 10 species
GUCCGUUUUUGUUUUUAAUGUUAACUGUUACUUCUGUUUUACUGUUUUAAUUUUCUUAUUUAUGAAAACAAAUAUUCUAACUCAGGAAAAAAGUAAAUGUUAUAUUUAGUGGGUCAUUUUAUUUAUAUUUUCUCUUUAUACUUCUCUUUUUAUUUUGGCUUGUUUCAAUUUGCUUUUCUAUGUUCCUUACUAUAACUUACUUAACCUUUGCUCAGAAAAUUCUAUAUUCUACAAUGUAUUAUGCAGUCGUUUCUUUCAAGAGUUUUAUAGUUUCUUGUUUCUCAUUUUCUGCUUACUUGUCUAUCUGGUCUUUGCUUUUCAUUUAUAUUUUUAUUUAAUAAAUUUCUUUCACAUUUUUAAUUCUUAUCAAUUUAUUUUAACUCAUGUUGAAUUUUUUUUGCUCCCUUUUCCUUCAUGAUAUGAUUGCAACUGCCAAUUUAUUUUAUUAUUAUUGUCUCUUCCUUUAAUAAUUGUUACAUGGAUGCUACAGUUUUAUAUUUGAAACUUGCUUUUUAUAUUUGAAAGUUGAAUUGGUCCAGAUUAUCUGUUAAUGGUGAGGCUCCUGGUACCUGGGUAGAAGAAUGCUCAGGGUAGACUUAUGAGUUCCUUUACCAGGGGCUUAUGCUUUUUAUUAGCAUAGCUUACUUUGGUUCAUCUAUAGCUCUUAUAUUAUCUACCUGAUUCCCUUCUCUCAUUAUUGGCUGUCCUUUUAUAAGAGAGACUGAUGGCUUC